rnacentral:lncRNA from 1 species
GUCAAAUUCAUCAAAACCAGGCGGAAACUCUUCUCCAAUCUCAAAGGGAUAAUUCUUCAUCUCAGAAAAUGGAUAUCCUAAUACAAGAGGUCGAGUUCUUGGUGGAACUAGUGCGAUCAGUGCUGAUUUCUGUGGAGAUCCAAUCAAGACUUUUUCAAAAACUAGUUGGGAUUUAAGAAUGGUUAAUGAAUCGUGUGAAGGGGUUGAGAAAAAAAUGCGCCCUUAAUCACUCUUCAGUUUGUCAAUCCAAAAAGAAUAUCAGGAGGGUUUGAGAGUUCGAAUUGUGAAAAUAUAAGACCUAGACUGGCAAAUAGAUCAACUGAAAAGGUGCUAGCCACUCAAGGAAUCUGAAGUCAAAGCCUUUUGUCUCAAAGCAAUGGAAAUUCUCGUUGAAGAGAAUAAUGUUCAG